AUACAUGCAAGUCGAACGCGUUGGCCCAAUUGAUUGAUGGUGCUUGCACCUGAUUGAUUUUGGUCGCCAACGAGUGGCGGACGGGUGAGUAACACGUAGGUAACCUGCCCAGAAGCGGGGGACAACAUUUGGAAACAGAUGCUAAUACCGCAUAACAACGUUGUUCGCAUGAACAACGCUUAAAAGAUGGCUUCUCGCUAUCACUUCUGGAUGGACCUGCGGUGCAUUAGCUUGUUGGUGGGGUAACGGCCUACCAAGGCGAUGAUGCAUAGCCGAGUUGAGAGACUGAUCGGCCACAAUGGGACUGAGACACGGCCCAUACUCCUACGGGAGGCAGCAGUAGGGAAUCUUCCACAAUGGGCGCAAGCCUGAUGGAGCAACACCGCGUGAGUGAAGAAGGGUUUCGGCUCGUAAAGCUCUGUUGUUAAAGAAGAACACGUAUGAGAGUAACUGUUCAUACGUUGACGGUAUUUAACCAGAAAGUCACGGCUAACUACGUGCCAGCAGCCGCGGUAAUACGUAGGUGGCAAGCGUUAUCCGGAUUUAUUGGGCGUAAAGAGAGUGCAGGCGGUUUUCUAAGUCUGAUGUGAAAGCCUUCGGCUUAACCGGAGAAGUGCAUCGGAAACUGGAUAACUUGAGUGCAGAAGAGGGUAGUGGAACUCCAUGUGUAGCGGUGGAAUGCGUAGAUAUAUGGAAGAACACCAGUGGCGAAGGCGGCUACCUGGUCUGCAACUGACGCUGAGACUCGAAAGCAU
rnacentral:rRNA from 1 species